UACGAAGGGUGCAAGCGUUGUUCGGAAUUACUGGGCGUAAAGGGUUCGUAGGCGGGAAUCUAAGUCAAGUGUGAAAUCCCCAGGCUCAACCUGGGACGUGCACCUGAAACUGGAUUUCUUGAGUACUAGAGAGGGUGGUGGAAUUGCUGGUGUAGGAGUGACAUCCGUAGAGAUCAGCAGGAACACCGGAGGCGAAGGCGACCACCUGGCUAGACACUGACGCUGAGGAACGAAAGCGUGGGGAGCAAACAGG
rnacentral:rRNA from 1 species